rnacentral:rRNA from 1 species
CGAGUGGCGGACGGGUGAGUAAUGUCUGGGAAACUGCCUGAUGGAGGGGGGUAACUACUGGAAACGGUAGCUAAUACCGCAUAACGUCGCAAGACCAAAGAGGGGGACCUUAGGGCCUCUUGCCAUCGGAUGUGCCCAGAUGGGAUUAGCUAGUAGGUGGGGUAACGGCUCACCUAGGCGACGAUCAGUAGCCGGACUGAGAGGUUGACCGGCCACAUUGGGACUGAGACACGGCCCAG